rfam:Dichomitus squalens LYAD-421 SS1 unplaced genomic scaffold DICSQscaffold_3, whole genome shotgun sequence.
GGCCGCCUGGCGUAAUGGCAACGCGUCUGACUACGAGCACGCCUUGGAGGCGAAAGCUUAGGGCAUCAGGAGAUUGCAGGUUCGACCCCUGCGGUGGUCA